AUACCCCUGAUUAGUAAAUGCUGAGAAGGAAAGAACAACACAAAAUCCACUCUUUUCUUAGACAAAGGAGAAUCUUAUUCUUACUUGUAUGACCUAUAUAUACACAUCUCAAAAAAGUAUUAGACACUCAAGAAAUUCAGAAGCAAUUUAAUUUGAGCACACUAGCUCGUGCAAGUUUGUCAAUCAAGCAUGGUUAAUGCUAAGUCGGCUAACUGCUACUGGAACAUAGCCUUAGUCCUCACUUUUCUUCUCAUUCUGCCUCCUUCCCAGGAACGAGUUCUCACGUUUAACAACGAGAUGUUUCACGCCCUUCCACUUUGUACGACAGUUUAUAAUGUAGAUACUGGUGACACUUGCGACAAUAUUAUCCGAUCUUUCGAUGUGAAAGCAGAAGACUUCGCUUCUUUUAAUCCAAACCUUAACUGCGACGAUCUUUUUGUGGGUGAAUAUGUUUGUAUCAAUGGCACCUUAUCUUCUUGAAUCCAAUUCACGAUGGCCAACAAUGUUCUAAAUUAAGUAUAAGUAUCUCUAGUGGUAGAUGCAAAAUCUCUUCGAGUAAUGAAAUCUAUUGGCUACAACUUGUUUUUCUAUCCGUUGAUCCGUGGUUAAACCAAGAAAUUUCUUCAGUUAUUUUGUAUCAAGUGAUGUUUUCACACAAUGGAAAUCAGCUCUCUUUAUGUUGGUUA